AUGGAGCCCUUGGGCAUGGGGCAGAUGGUUCUUCCAUGGGAUAUGACAGCAGGCAUUAGAGAGACCACAGCUCUUGCCAAUUCUGACCCAUAUUCUUCCUCUGCUACUACUCUGUUGCCAUCCAGGGAUCUACCAUUCAAGAUUUCUGAAGGGCAAGUCCCUAGGAGUGGGACAAUCAACUCAUCUUUACUGAGUGACCAAUACUGGGAAAAAGAGAAGACCCUGGAGCUACACAAGCAUACUUUCUGAAGAUGCCAAUCAUAUGGAAACCACUGAACAGUUUGGAGGAAGAUGAAAAUAAGGCAGUGCUUGCUAUCAAGGGCCUGGAGAAACCCUUAAAAAGAGAAGUCAAGUGAAAUUUGGGCAAGACUGAGACCUCAGACCCGGUUUGGGACAUUGAAGACUCUAUGUAAAAACUAUUCUCUCACAGACUUUGAGACACUCCUAGACCUUGUAAUGAACUGUCCUACCCAAGCCCCUAGGCAGGGUAAAGGACGUAGUGUGGAUACCUUUCUGUUGUAACUCUAAUUUUGCUCUUUCCACUCCCUCCCAUUCUUCUUCAAUUAUAUCUUCGGCUUUCAAUAAACAUUUGCCAAACUAAUGCUCCUGGUGUUUC
rnacentral:lncRNA from 1 species